rnacentral:rRNA from 1 species
GAAUGAUAGUCGGGCUGAAGACUCUACUUGACUAGCUGAGAGGAGGUGCAUGGCCGUCGUCAGUUCGUACUGUGAAGCAUCCUGUUAAGUCAGGCAACGAGCGAGACCCACGCCAACAGUUGCCAGCUCGUCCUCCGGGAUGGUGGGGACACUGUUGGGACCGCCUCUGCUAAAGAGGAGGAAGGAAUGGGCAACGGUAGGUCAGCAUGCCCCGAAUUAUCUGGGCUACACGCGGGCUACAAUGGGUGGGACAAUGGGUAUCGACACCGAAAGGUGAAGGCAAUCUCCUAAACCCAUCCGUAGUUCGGAUUGUGGGCUGCAACUCGCCCACAUGAAGCUGGAAUCUGUAGUAAUCGUGUCUCAAAAUGGCACGGUGAAUAUGUCCCUGCUCCUU